UACGUAGGGUGCGAGCGUUAAUCGGAAUUACUGGGCGUAAAGCGUGCGCAGGCGGUUUUGUAAGUCAGAUGUGAAAUCCCCGGGCUUAACCUGGGAACUGCGUUUGAAACUACAAGGCUAGAGUGUGGCAGAGGGGGGUGGAAUUCCACGUGUAGCAGUGAAAUGCGUAGAGAUGUGGGGAACACCGAUGGCGAAGGCAGCCCCCUGGGUUAACACUGACGCUCAGGCACGAAAGCGUGGGGAGCAAACAGG
rnacentral:rRNA from 1 species